UUGAUUGCCUUUCAUCUCAGAUCGUGAAUAUGGGUUUCCGUAAUGGCCAUACAUCCAUAGUUAUAGAUUGCUCUUUCGAACCUGAACUUCGUUCACCCGAAUCAAUAAAUCACGUUAUUGUUGAAUUCCACGUCGGAACGGAAAAACGCGGUUUUAUCUAUAAUCGCGAGUGGAGAAUACCAGAAGUUGUUGAAGAAGAUGAACGACAUGAGAGUUCAAGCAUUAUUUGUCUGGAUCCAUCUGAGCCCUACGAGGAAUCGCAGAAAUUUCUUAUGGCAGAAAUCGAAAGUUAUCAUAUACGACCUCUGGAACUUGAAGAAAGAUUUACUCAUCUUUUAAUCAUCCUCGCACGAAUCAAUGCCGAAACACGCCGGAAGAUGACUCUUUCCGUGAGUAUAAUGAAGGUUUUAAAUUACAAUUUUGAUGAAACUUUGCUGCUUCUCUGAGGUAAUUGAUAGUUGCAGAUUACGCGUGGAAGAGUUCUCUGUAGAAUCUGUUACCUUUAGCCCCAUCUUUAUCACAAUGAUUGAAUUUGAGGAUUUGGCUAAAUCGAAUCCAAUACUGCCCUAUUUUCCUCUCUGAGAUGCCUUCAGAUGUCAAUUAGGUCUUUCUUGGGGAUUUCUCAAAAUUUGUAUUUCUUUUUGAUAUUGUAGAGACGCAGUUCCUUUCAGGUUGUUUUCUGAUUUCUUAAUACCAUAACUUUGUUGCAAUCUUUGAAAGAUUUAGAAGUAAAAUAGUCCCUGAAUUUCUUUAAUUAUUUUUUGCUUUUAUAUAUUCUUCAUUUAAUCAGCGUAAUUUUCUCUCAUUUUGGCCAAAUAAUGAGUAAUAUAUAAGCAAUUCAAUCUCCUGGAGUGCACCAUCACCAUCACCAUCACCAUCACCACCACCUAAAUCUAUUUUCUAAACACAGUGCUACCUCACCACCACCUUUAAAAUUAUUUGUGCCUGUAAAUGUGUAGAGAGAGAGAGGGAAAGAGAUAGCAUUUUUAAUUUUUAAGGCCUGUUUGGGAGCGAUUUUUCUUCCAAAAAUUGAUUUUUUGACCGUUAUUUCACUAUUUCAGCCGUCAUAUUUGAUUUCUUCUCACAGGUGAACCCCACUUUUCUCCUAACGGUUAAAAACGCAAUUCUCAAAAUCACUCCCUAACUGGCUCUUAGUAUUUUUCUGGAGUAGCGUAGGGAGGGGGUUGGUCCAUCUAGGUGGGGUAUGAGAGAUUUGAAUUUUUGGAGACUUAUGGGGGUGGGGAUUAUAAUACCAAUAUGUCAGUUGAUAUAGUUUGUCAAUUGAAAUAGCAAGAGAAUAAAUAUAUAUUAAAUUAUAAUUAUAUAUUUGAUAAUUUCAUUUACAAUUUGAUUUAUGAAUGUUUUUAGAAAGUUUGUUAGGUGUGAAUUGUGGUCCUUAUAGUCUAUUAGCUACGGAUCGUUCCCUUACUUUUAUAUGUGCAUCAGUAUUUGUUAAUAUCUUGCAAUCUUAAAUCACUUCUAUCGUCCUCCCAUUGGCUAGAGAUUAUUAUCUUUUAUCGAGUUGUUUCCUUCUUGAAUCAAGUUUCCUUAUAAAGAUGAUUCCCUUGGAUCUUUCCUUGACUAUUCCUUGACCACCAAGGACUUUAUGCAAAUACUUAGGAAUGAAAAGGUAAUUUCCUUUUAAGAAAGAUUCACUAGAUUUACCUUCCAACAAUCCUAGUCAUCAUAGAGCAUGAAUUAACUACCAAGGGAAAUUUGUUUCUCUAACUGUCCUUCGCGAGUCGAACCUUAUGUGCAUUCGUCUUUCUCACUUGAGGUUACACGAGAUUUGGCAUGUAUAUGUGAGGCUUGUUCAGGCUUGUAUCAUGAGUCUUUUCCCUAUAUUAAUGCAUUCAAAAUUUGAAAAGAAAUAGGCAAAGGGCAAAUUCUCAAGAUCUUAUAAUUAGCUUUAGAAACAAUAUUGGAUAUGAAAGUCAAUCAACUUGGUCAUAUCAUGAAUAUUUAUCAACUCUUUUUGAAAAAUUGAAUAAAUAAAAAUUGAACUCUUUCACAGUAAUGAAAAAAGAGAGCUAAAGCCUUGACUAAUUUGGUUGUUAUUCUAGCCAGGUCAAACGAGGACUUUGUCCACCCCAAUAUCAAUUGUUAAAAGAUAGACUAUUUUUCCUCUGUUGCUGGGGAAUCUAUAAGAAAAUAACUAUAUUGAAGUGAUCGACAAAGAGAAGGGUGAUUGGAGCCCACUGAUAAUUGAUUAUCAUUAAUAGUUGCCAACUACUUCUCAUCGUAAGACUAAAGUCCAGAGAUGCGCAUCUCUUUUUUUUUUUUUUUUUAAGGGACACGUUCUAUCGACAUUUAUUCUAUUAAAUGAUUAAAAUCUAAUAUCAGUGAUUAGGGGUAACUAAAUUUCUACAUUUGCUAUUAUUUACUUAACCAUUUAAGAAAAUAAUACUUAAGUUAGUGAUAAUAAUUAGAAGGACAGAACUGUCAUUUUGCUUGUAUUUAAUUAUCAAAUCUCAAACGAGAUAAAACAUAUAAAGGUAGGUUGAAUGAAUGUAUUACAUAUUUAUUAGGUUUUGUUAUCUUAUAUAUUUGAGACUAUAGUUUUUUAUCGCCAGUAAAAAAAUAAAGACUAAUAAUUAUAUUGAAUAGUAUAAGAUUGACAAAAUUGGAUCUAAUUCACUACCAAAAAAAAAAUGCUGCUUCAGAGACGAAAAUUUCCAUCGUUGAUACCUUAAAUUCUGUCACUAACGACUUUUACAAAUAGAAUUGAUUAGUUGGAAAAUCCGUCGGCAAUACCCCGCCUCUAAUUUUAGCGACAUAUUAACUAGGUCGUCGUGAUUUAGCAACGAAAGAAGUCGUUGGUGUUUACCAACGGCUAUUUCCAUCAUUAAUUAGCAACAACUUUUUUCGUCGCAAAUUAUCUACAGAUUCUGUCCUUUGAUGAUGAUACCAGCGGGAUUUUUUUUGCUUUUUCCAUCGCUAAUUUGAAUUAAAAUAUUAAAAAAUGAUUUUAUUUUAAUAAUUAUUUUUUCGAAAACUUCAUACAUUAAGGUCCUGUUUGUUACACAUUAAUGUAAAAAUGAGAAUGAAAAAUAUAGCCGUCACGGAUCCCACACAAGAGAUAGAAAGUAAAAUAUGGUGACUUAAUGUGAUGGAUAACGAUCAUAUUUUCAUUUUAAUAGGCAAAUAAUGAGAAACAAACGGGGACUAAAUUUUUUUUUUUUUUUUAAACAAAAAAUGCUAAAAUCCAAUAGAAUAAUGUAAACAUUUCUUAAUUUCAAGUUCCAUUUUCUCCCUCACUAAAUAAUCAAGAUCAUCCAAGAAGCAAGUAGCCCAUUCAUUAACCAAUCCAAAAAUUAGAUUUGAUAUAGAUUCAUUGGUCCUAGUUAAAUGCAUCUCCCACAGAUAAUAUAAUAUAAAACCAAAAAAGAGAAAAAAAAAAAGACAAUUUUUUUGAAAAAAAUCUGCAAAAAAAUAACUACAUAAAAAAUCACACACAAAAUUUUCUCAAAAAUAAGCACCCAAAUUUUGUGCACAAAACACACACACAAUUAAUGUAUGUAUAGUUUGGAAUACUAAUUCCUCAUCUUCUAGGCUUCUUAAAUCCGCAAAAACCAACGCAAGAAAAUAAAACACUCACAUAGGCACCGCAGUUAUUCAAAACAGUUCGAUCAUAGUGAGGAAGACAAAUGCCAAUCGACAAAACACCAUUACUGCUGAUGGAAGAGAAGUGGCCAGGGGUAUCAAUGGAUUGGUCUUACAGAACUGCAGAAUAGUUCCAGAAAAGGAACUCUUCCCAUUGAGAUUUCAAAUUCCUACACACCUCGAGCGUCCAUGGAAGGCAGAAGCCCUUACCGUCACUAUGCAAAGCGAAUUGGGUGAUCUGAUCCGCCCUGAGGGCUAUAUGAAAUGGGAUGGCGGAAGCUACCAUCAAACUUGUGAGUUCUAUGAGUUUGCAAACUGCGGCCCUGUAUCCGACCCCAGUAAAAGAAGUAAAGAAUUCAAAAUAUUCAAAGUUCUCAAUGCAAGCGAAGCUGCCAAAUACACUCCCGGCCAAUUUCUUUCUGGUUCCCAAUGGUUGAAGAUAUAGAGGGGUUUCUAUUCUUUUAUAAAUUUAAAUUUUAUAAUAUUUUCUGAAAGAUAUAGAGGGAGGGUGGCAAUGUGUUUUGGGAGGAAAUGAAAUAUUUGAGUGGGAAUUGGAAAUUUUAUAGGCAAGUCAAAUUUAAGAUAGGAAUUGAAAUUUUUUGAAUUUUUCGACGGAAUACUGACUUCUAAGAUAUCUAAAUGAAAGAAUUUCCUUGAUAAUGAGAGGGGAACACGAUGCUAAGAAGUGAUUGGAUGAAUGGGGAUAUUCCCGAAACUCGCACAGAAAAAAGGAAGUGAGUUAGAUAAAAAGAAAAGCAACUUGGACAAAGAAAAAAAGAAAAAAAAACGACACUUUUGAUUUCUUUUGAAACUUUUCGAAGUAAUUUUAUUUUUCCUUAGACUUUAUGAAGUAAUGGCGGGUGAAUUAGAAGAAUUUGAAGAAGGUACAAUAGGUAUUGCUUUGAAGUUGGAAGCUGUUAUUUCAAUUCUUCCAUCUUUUUCUUGAUUUCACCCCCUUAUUCAAUCAAUUCACAGUCACAACGAGAUGGAAGGACUUCUAUUGGAAUCCACAUACAGUAGAAGAGAAUGAUUCGAAGUUCUUGCAGAGUGGAACCAUGCAGUACCAGACACGAGAUAGAUCUUUCAAAGAACAAGGCCUUUUUCGAAUAAGCCAAUUCAUUUGGGCCACAGUAGGAGAUUGUCGCUACCCCCUUCGCCGAAUGAAUGAAGAAAUUGUCUCUUUACCAAGGCCCAUUCCUUAGCCGGAAAGAUAUGUGGCCAUGAAAGAGAAAAAGGAAUUAAGUAGAAAAAAAUUGUCUGGGUGGUAGAGUUUUUUGUUGGUAACUCUGUAAUGCUUUUAAAAUUUUAAUUUCAAUGUUUACCAAUAGAUUUUUUCUGUUGGUAAUUUAUUUUACAAUUUUUAAUAUUUUUUCUAACGAAAGCAUCCAUUGAGAAAUUUUGUCACUAAAUUAUUUAAUUUAUUAUUUAUUAUUUUAAAAUUUUUACUGAUGGAUUAGUAACAAAAUUGUAUCAACGAAAAUCUUCGGUUGGUAAUUCUGUCGUUAAUUUAGUAUUUAAUUUUUAAUAAUAAUAAAAUAGUAAUCCGUUGCCAAUUUGUUGUAAUUCCGUCGAUAAUAGCAACAAAAAUUGUCCACCUGUAAAAUUCCAUUUCUAUUGCCUCCUUUUCUAGUAGUGAUUAUUGGUGUUUAGAUAAUAUAUAUACAAUCAAAUCUUUGUGAUAGCUCUAUAAAGUACUAGACCUUAAUUAUAAUUUUAAAAAAAAUAAAAAAAAAUUGAACUUAGUUGCGAUUAUUAUAAAGUUUUGGACGUAAUAAUAAUUGUUAAGAAUGUUGUCCUAUGUUAAGUGUUUUUUUUUUUUUUUUUUUCAGCUACACUUUCGCUAAAUAAGAUAUUUCACACUUAAAUCCAAGUUUUUCCUACUUUUUUGCCACACAUUCCUUAGAGAAUCACUAUUUCAAAAAUUAUUUUCUCCAAUAAAAAAAGAAAUAUUAAUGGACAUCAAGUGUGGGGUUUAACUGUAUUUGUAAUUAAAGUUUUAUAAAAACACACGUAGCUACAUAAGAUUAGAACCAAUUGAAUUUGGAUUUUAAUUCAAAUUCUUAUUUGGAUUAAACUAAGAAAUCUAACGCAUUACAGAUGUUCAAAUUUGGAAAGAAAUUCUUUACUUUUAUUUUUAUUUUUAAUUUGUGGGUACUUCGAAAACUUGCAAGAAAAGUUACUUCAAGCUAUAAAUAAUAGAUUUAUAGCACGCUCUCCCGUCAUAUUUUCUUUCUCAACUUGAUUGCCUUUCAUCUCAGAUCGUGAAUAUGGGUUUCCGUAAUGGCCAUACAUCCAUAGUUAUAGAUUGCUCUUUCGAACCUGAACUUCGUUCACCCGAAUCAAUAAAUCACGUUAUUGUUGAAUUCCAUGUCGGAACGGAAAAACGCGGUUUUAUCUAUAAUCACGAGUGGAGAAUACCAGAAGUUGUUGAAGAAGAUGAACGACAUGAGAGUUCAAGCAUUAUUUGUCUGGAUCCAUCAGAACCCUACGAGGAAUUACAGAAAUUUCUUAUGGCAGAAAUCGAAAGUUAUCAUAUACGACCUCGGGAACUUGAAGAAAGAUUUACUCACCUUUUAAUCAUCCUCGCACGAAUCAAUGCCGAAACGCGCCGGAAGAUGACUCUUUCCGUGAGUAUAAUGAAGGUUUUAAAUUACAAUUUUGAUGAAAGUUCGCUGCUUCUGUGAGGUAAUUGAUUGUGCUUGGAAGAGUUCUCGGUAGAAUCAGUUACAUUUAGCCCCAUCUUUAUCACAAUGAUUGAAUUUGGGGAUUUUGCUAAAUCAAUCCAAUACUGCCCUAUUUUCCUCUUUGAGAUGCCUUCAGAUGUCAAUUAGGUCUUUCUUGAGAGAUUUCUCAAAAUAUGUAUUUCUUUUU
rnacentral:lncRNA from 1 species